CUUCUACGCCAUGCAUUCUUUGCAGACCUUCCAUGUAAAGAAUAAAACGUUACUGUACCCAGUCCUCCCACAAUCAAAUGGGAUGUUUCAUUGUGCAAGCCAAGAGGAGAUCAAGAGGGCAGUCAUGAUGCAUGUGUUCAACGCACAAAAAGCCGACAUGGUGAGCUCGAUGCUGGAGUUGCAGCUAUGGUCUCGACCUGGAGCCGACUCCAGUGGAGUCUACUAUCAGUUCAUUACUCAGGUUCACUAGGAAACAUGACUCAUGUAACUUGGUUUAAUUUCUCUUGAAAUACCAGAACCUUUUACAGGGAAUUGGACUGCUCUGGGGCAUAAAGGCAAUGCAAUGAAACUGUUACAGUGGUUUUGACGAUUCAUUUUAUUCAUUCUGAUUCAUACUCUUACAUCAAAACAGCUUGCUUUCCUUAGAGUAGAAGAAGGGAUGACAGAAAUGGAGGGAUGAUGUAAGAGUGAGUGAGUUAAGUUUUACGCAGCUUUGAGCAAUACCACGGCGGGGGAUACCAGAUAUUCGAUACUUAUAUUACCAUACAAAAUAUGUACACGGUUACCAUUACAGUACACGAAUAUGUGUUCUAUUCCAGGUGUGUUAUUGUUUAUAUAUUACUUCAGUGUUUAUGGUAUCACAGGUAUCAAAUAUGUUCAUGGUUAACAUUUCAGUACACGAAUGUGUGCUCUAUUCCAGGUUUGUUAUUGUUUAUAUAUUACUUCAGUGUUUAUGGUAUCACAGGUAUCAAACAUGUAUUUGCAUAUGAAUGUGUGCACCAACGAUGUUAAUAUUGUCUGUAUGGCUGGUAUGUGUGUGUGUGCGUGCGCGUCGGUGCGUGUGUGUUUUGGAGUGCUUUUUUCAUGUUAUCAAUGUUAUUUUAUGCUUUUAUUGGUAUCUCACAACCUAAUUAGGGUGGCUCAUUAUUGAAUAAAAAAGUAGAAUUACGAGGUUUGUACAACCGGUGAGAUCU